ACGUUCAGGUAAUCGCUGCAAUUCUUUAUGAGUUGUAGAGGAAAGUCCAUGCUCGCACGGUGCUGUGAUGCCCGUAGUGUUCGUGCCUAGCGAAGUCAUAAGCUAGGGCAAUUCAUGUUUAUGGAUUGACGGCAGGGAAAAAGCCUAAGUCCUUCGGAUAUGGCUUGAAUACCUUGAAAGUGCCACAGUGACGGAGUCUUACAAGAAAUUGUAAGAGUGGAACGAGGUAAACCCCACGAGCGAGAAACCCAAAUAAUGGUAGGGGCACCUUCUUGGAGGAAAUGAACAAAGAGAAGGACAGAUAUUUUAUCUGUAGAUAGAUGAUUACCACCUGAGUACGAGGUAUUGCCGUUUGUAGUACGAUGGAACAAAACAUGGCUUAUCGAA
rnacentral:RNase_P_RNA from 1 species